rnacentral:lncRNA from 1 species
GGGUGCUGGCUUGAAGUGGUUUCCAUUAUAUACAGGGUUUGCAGUUUGGUUCAAUGGCUCUUAGCACCCCCACUGUACAAAUUGUUCCAGCACCACUGACCUGAGCAUCCACACUCCAUUGUAAACCUGGGUUUACAAUUGCUGAAUACAAGUCUCAUAGCCAUGGUAACCCAUCGAUACUGAAGUAGGCAGACCUUGUGACUCAGGUUUGUGGAUUGAGCUGUAUCCACACAGCAAAAUGACAGGGCUUGGACUUCAGUCAGAGAAAGAUUCAAGCUCUGACCCACCACAAUAGCAGGAUCCUAGAACCCGGGUACUGUGCGCUUGCUGACCCAAGUCAGACUGAUUUUGUGUGUGGAUGGAACGGGGGCUUAGGCUCAAAUCUGAAUCAGAGCCUGGACUUAGUGUGCUAUGUAGACAUACUCUGUGGGAGUUAAAUAGGAUUUGGAUCAGGCCUAGGUGAUAGAGGAGGGUUAAGAGAAGUGGACAAUAUCCCAUGGCAAAAGGCUAAAAUGGCAUUCACUGACUCCCACUCUUGGUGCAUCUGUUUUUAGGGUGGAUUAAAAGGAACUGGAUUACUCUUGCCACAGCUGCUUCCCACUGGUAGCAACAACACACAAAACUGAUAAUGACCCCCUAAAAUGCAAGGGGUGAAGAAAGCCCUUGCCAUUGUUCCUGGGCUGAGAAGACGGAAGCAAUAACCAGUUACCAUUGUUUUAUCUCAGAACCCUCCCAGCACAGGGCACCAUUGGUGGGGAGAAGGAAGCUGGCAGACUGCGGGGACAGCAGGAGUUCAGAUUACAGUGCGGUGAUUUGCAUUUCCAUGGCACUAGUGAUGUCACGGGCCUACACUAAGCAAGGUCUCCUGAGGCUCUGAAGACAAAGGGGAGCGACAAGAAGCAUGGAAAGGAAACAACAUAGACUUAAAGGACAGAAGCCAAGUUUUUAAAAAAGAAAUGAAUUCAGCAGGCGCUCAGUCAUAUACUCACUAACACAGGAGUGAUGGCAGGGUCAUAAUUUUUUUCUUUGCAGUUCACUUUUAAACUCCCCAGGCACAAACGCCUUCCAGACUUGCAGGGCUGGAUUUGUCACUGAGAUAACAUCCCCUUCCCCCAACCUUCCACUGAUUAGCGAAGGAGCCCGCCUUGCAAAAAAAAAAAGGCAGCUGCUACACUCUCCCUGCUAGAGAGAUGCCCAGGAAGUGUCUGAUGGUAGGUGGAUCGAAAGGAGGAAGCGGAACUCAAAAGGGAAUAUUCUAGUUUUCCCUCCACAAACAGAUGCCCUUCUGCUGCUGCAUUUUAGUCAAUAAGGUCUUGU